rnacentral:RNase_P_RNA from 2 species
UCAGUGGGCCGGAUGGUCGCGGCUGCAAUUAUGCAGGUGAGGAAAGUCCGGGCUUCAUAGGGCAGGAUGCCGGAUAACGUCCGGUGGAGGUGACUCCAAGGCCAGUGCAACAGAAAUAUACCGCCGGUUUUAUUAACCACAGAAAUAUACCGCCGGUUAUAUCAACCGGUAAGGGUGGAAGGGCAGCUUAAGAGACUACCGCUUCUGCGGUAACGCAGAAGGCACAUGUAAACCCCAUCCGAAGCAAGACCAAACAGAAGCGAUGACGCGGCCCGCCAGCUUCAGGUAGGUUGCUUGAGCCUGCCGGUAACGGCAGGACUAGAUAGAUGACCAUUCAAGACAUAACCCGGCUUACAGGUCCACUGGUUUA